AAUCGAUGAAAACGAUGUGCGGGUAGGAAGAAGCUAAAAAAAUAACUAAAUUGCGCCCAUUGCAGACAUACUGCACCAGGUCGUAACCAUAGUGAAUUACAUCAAGCCACAUCCUCUGCGCGCAUGUCUUAUUUUUUUUAUUAAUUUUGAAUGUUAAAUAUUCUAUGUUAAAUCCCAAAUAAAUUGUUGACAUUUCUAAACGAAA